rnacentral:rRNA from 1 species
CAGUACCGCGGUAAUACGGAGGGUGCAAGCGUUACUCGGAAUCACUGGGCGUAAAGGACGCGUAGGCGGAUUAUCAAGUCUCUUGUGAAAUCUAACGGCUUAACCGUUAAACUGCUUGGGAAACUGAUAAUCUAGAGUAAGGGAGAGGCAGAUGGAAUUCUUGGUGUAGGGGUAAAAUCCGUAGAUAUCAAGAAGAAUACCUAUUGCGAAGGCGAUCUGCUGGAACUUAACUGACGCUGAUGCGUGAAAGCGUGGGGAGCAAACAGGAUUAGAUACCCCCGUAGUCCCUGUCUCUUAUACC